GUCAGAGCCACAGCCCAGAGAGAAGUGCAUAUAUGAUCGGAAGCUUGUGAAGAUGCUACGACGUUGCGGCCCACGGGGGAAUUCCUCUUCACUGGAGCGGUGAGAUUUGGAGAGCCGUGGCUAGGAUGUGCUCCGCUUUAUAAAGACUUCAUCAGACAGUACUGCUCGGCUCUGGACGCAGGAACAUGAUGUCACAGCCAGACGGCCCCUAGGUCCCCAUGCACAAUCCAGUCCAAAGUUCUGAUCCUGACGUCACUGUAACAUCGACCAUCUGUGCUCCAUGCUGUGUUCAAUGGUAACGGACCGUCAGUGUGUUUUUUAAUUCAGCUAUGCUGCCAGAUCCUGAAGGCAGACUACAGAAAAGCCAGUUGCCCAGGUAAAGCAGGUGAAGGGUAAGGAAAGAUAUGAAAUGUUGAAGAAAAUAAACGACAGUUUGGAACUUAGCGACGUUAUGCCUCCAUGUGACUUGGACAAAUACAGACAGAAACUGAGUCUAUCGGCUCAAACAAGUCUGUAUUUUCACCUCCCAGUCCAAUCAGAACCUGUGGAGGUGUGCGUACAACAGCCAGGCAACUUAAAACUAGGAAACAACAGGAAUGGUAAAAGAUGGAUGUGUCUGCUUUUACCUCCAUGUCACAAAGCUGACAGGUCAGUAAAAAUUCAAUGUUUUUGUUUGAGUUCUAUUCUGAGAAUAUUGUUGUGGCUGCGUGGUGUGUCCUUUUUUAUUUCGGCUGCCAUGUUAAUAGGUUUGAGCUUGCACACUGCCUGCGAUCUUAGGCUGCAACAUCAUUCAAAUGGAAUAUGCGCUUUUUCAGCAGUCGGACUGACUGAAGGAGAUCUGACCAUGCAGGUUCUGGAGCUUUCUGAGGGACCUUUUUGGGCUAAUGAAGCAGAUGAUGAACUUUCAGAGGAACACAGUGACGGCGUGCCCUCGGAGACCGUCUCAGCCUAACGCACCGGGUGUAGGACAGACAUGCUGUCUGGCCAAACAACCAG
ensembl:lncRNA